UACGUAGGGUGCGAGCGUUGUCCGGAAUUAUUGGGCGUAAAGAGCUCGUAGGCGGUGUGUCGCGUCGGCCGUGAAAACCUGCAGCUUAACUGUGGGCUUGCGGUCGAUACGGGCAUCACUGGAGUUCGGCAGGGGAGACUGGAAUUCCUGGUGUAGCGGUGAAAUGCGCAGAUAUCAGGAGGAACACCAGUGGCGAAGGCGCCGCUCUGGGCCGUGACUGACGCUGAAGAGCGAAAGCGUGGGUAGCAAACAGG
rnacentral:rRNA from 1 species